rnacentral:tRNA from 1 species
UGGCGGGAUAGAGCAAUGGUAGCUCGGCAGGCCCAUGACCUGUAGGUUGAAGGUUCGAAUCCUUCUCCCGCAAU